AUGCCGAGCCAGAAAACGCCAGCGCGGAGCACAGGGAAGGGUUUAUUUAACCCCCAAAUGAGAAAUAAAAGGGAGAGGAGGAGCGGAGAGGUGCGGACGGCGCGGGAGCCGCGCGGCCAAGGUGAACCGCGGCCGGCUAACAUGGUGGAGGCUGCGGGGAGCCGCGACCCUCCGGCCCGCGGCUGUGAGGGGCGAGCCGCGGCUGUGAGGGGCCGGCACGGAGGUGACAGCGAGCGGGAGGCUGAGCGGUCGAUAAAAGAGCUGGAAGAGCUGGAGCCAUGGGAUGUCCUUCAUGACAAAGCAGCAGGAGAAAUUAGCAGUCAUCAAUCAUUUGGUGUGCAGACCUCUGAGAUCCAAAAGGAGACACAAUUCUAUUUGUUUUCUCCUCUGUCUGGAUCACCUGAGCUCCUCAAAGCUCACUCAGCAGCUUACCUGAGCAGAUUCCAGAGUGGAACUCCAGCAAUUAAGUCCAGCACUUAA
rnacentral:lncRNA from 1 species